rnacentral:rRNA from 1 species
CAGCCGCCGCGGUAAUACCAGCCCCGCGAGUGGUCGGGACGGUUAUUGGGCCUAAAGCGCCCGUAGCCGGCCCGGCAAGUCCCUCCUUAAAGCCUCGGGCCCAACCCGAGGACGGGGGGGAUACUGCCGGGCUAGGGGGCGGGAGAGGCCGGCGGUACUCCCGGGGUAGGGGCGAAAUCCGUUAAUCCCGGGAGGACCACCAGUGGCGAAGGCGGCCGGCUGGAACGCGCCCGACGGUGAGGGGCGAAAGCCGGGGGAGCGAACCGGAUUAGAUACCCGGGUAGUCCUGGCUGUAAACGAUGCGGACUAGGUGUCGGGCAAGCUAAGGGCUUGUCCGGUGCCGCAGGGAAGCCGUUAAGUCCGCCGCCUGGGGAGUACGGCCGCAAGGCUGAAACUUAAAGGAAUUGGCGGG